UCUUUUCCUUUUUUUCCAGCCGCCGCGGUAAUACGUAGGGGGCAAGCGUUAUCCGGAUUUACUGGGUGUAAAGGGAGCGUAGACGGCAAGGCAAGUCUGAUGUGAAAACCCAGGGCUUAACCCUGGGACUGCAUUGGAAACUGUCUGGCUCGAGUGCCGGAGAGGUAAGCGGAAUUCCUAGUGUAGCGGUGAAAUGCGUAGAUAUUAGGAAGAACACCAGUGGCGAAGGCGGCUUACUGGACGGUAACUGACGUUGAGGCUCGAAAGCGUGGGGAGCAAACAGG
rnacentral:rRNA from 1 species